rnacentral:lncRNA from 1 species
UUGAUUUUAAUGCUAGGGUUUUGUGUAAUUUCCACUUUUUAAAAUUAACCCACAAACACCAAUUUAAUCCUAGAAUGUGAAACCCAUUUGGCCAUUCCAUUCAAAAUUCCAAAUCCAGUAACCCACCUAAUCAUACAUUCAUACCUCUUAGAAUCUCAAAUCUCAAAUCUCAUUUUCUUAUUGAUUUUGGAAAUGCCCAAGCCUGAAGCCUCUGCAAGCCAAAUUAUAGAAAGAAAAUGGUAUUGGUGGCAACCACAUUCCGAGGUAUUGUCAUUUCUGAUUCAUCACGUUUCAUCACUUCAUCUCCGAUUUCUCACCGGAAUUUUGAGGUAUCGAUGUAUUGUCAUUUUAUGCACAAUAAUAAAAUGCUAUAUUUUGUUGUUUGUACGAAAUUAUGAAGUUGAAUUUCUAUUAGCAAAAAAAAAAACUGCUUGAAUAAGUCACAAUAGGAACAUUUUCGGUUUUUACCAAAUUAGUGUCGACUGAAUGGAAAUGGGUACUGAAGACUAGAAGAGACUUUGGAUUUUGGGUGAUAAAUUAGUGGGAAUUUAUUUAGAAAAAUAAAUUCUUGUAAACAAGUUUUGAAAUACAAAUUAUACAAUUUAUUUAUACCGCUGCAUCUCUUCCUUAAUCUUGUAGAGAAGGUGUUUGUUGAAAUGACAUAUCAUUCUCAGAUUCUCUUAUUGCUUCUACACAUUAUUGUUUUUGUUAUUCAGUUUGAGAAUUGAGAUUGAGAUUCAUAUCUAAAGGGUUAGCCGGUUAGGUUAUUUAUGGUAUCAAUUUUGAUUAGGUUUAGAAUAAUAGUUUUGUAAGUAUAGUAUAUUUUACGUUUUUCAUGUUUUAUUAUUUUUUUUUAAAUCUAAUUGAAUAUGACUUUAUUCGUUUAUUUCGGUCGAUCAACUUACUAACUCUACGGUUACAAAUGGAACAUUGUCAAUCAUAUGGUGCUAAGAAGCGAAAAACAUUGUAGAUUCUGUUAUAGACGAGUUUUAUACAGUUAAAGUUCAACGGACACUUCUUCAGAAGGUAAUGUUGUAAUGAAAUUUUAUGCCGUAUACUUUAUAAAAAAAUUUGUAUAUAUAUUUUAAAUUUCAGCCCCCCAACAUAAUUUUCUGGGUUUGCCCCUGGAAAUAGAGUACAAGACAGGCUCUCUCUAUUUAUAUUUAUACAUCUAUAUGUAGACAAGCUACAUAGUAUACUACAUACUAAAACUGCUCCUCGGAAAGAGGAAAAUUAAGAAAGAAAAUAGUUGUGAAAACCACGUUUUUUGCUAGCUUUAUUAUGUAGUUCAAAACAUGGAUUUCCAUUUGUGACUAUAGCCAUAUAUCUCCAGCAUCUUUCGGCAACUUUUUAAGUGAGCCAUCGAGAUGAAGAGUCACGAGAGUAUCAGCGGACCCUAAGAGUUGUCCAUUGAUGAAAACAGCUGGGAUGGCAUAGCUGCACCCUAGCCUCAUCAGAGCCCACUCUAUUUCUUUUCCUCUCGAAUCCUUAUUGAGCUUGUAGAUCGUAGGACUCACGCCUUGCUCAUAAAAUAAUUUCUUGAUAGAAUGGCACAUGCAACAUGUACUUUUACUAGACAUCACCAUGGCUUUUUGUGAAGCCAGAUUUGCUAUGCGAUCCAUCAAAUUACACGAAAAGGAUUAGAGAAGAGGAAACGUGGCACGAGUAAUUUAACCAGUAUACAAUAAAGUUGUUAAAAAGGGGCUCUAGUUUGAUAGAAAAUACACGAUUUUCUUGAACAAAUUUAACGAAGAUGAAUUGUAUUAGACUUGGUUUGUCAUAUGAUAUGGUUUCACUACCUUAUGCAUAUAGAGGCAAGUGUUGAUGUUGGAAUACUUAUUUGAAUUGUUCUAUAAAUUUUAAAAAAAUGACAAAAGAUGAAGGUUCUUUCAGAUUCUUGGAUACAUGCUAAAUUUAACAAAUGACUCCUUGUUUGUGAUGACCUAUUUGGAUCAUUACAAGUUAUUUCUACUUGUAAUUGGAAUCUUUAAGGCUAUUCAGAUAAACCAGAUACAACUUAAAGCAUAUUCAUGUUCAACCAGAUUUUCGUCAUCAUUUUUUAUUUAUACAUAUAAUUUGUAAAUAGGUGAGGAGGCGCAUGGAGAAUGUCAACUAUGAUAGAUGAGAAUUUGGCACACACAUACACACACAUAUUGAUAGAGAAGAUGUGGGCUAAUUUGCGUCACUCUCUCAGCUUCUUGGUUGGACCACCAAGACUAGUGAUUUUCAACAAAUCUUUCUUCAUUUUUAGAGGAAAACGCAGCAAAAAUGCUUCAGGACAUUGCAGCAAAAGCAAUAUUUUUGUACUGGGUUCAGUAACAAAUCGUAGAGGCAAGUGUUGCAUUUUUUCAGUCGCAAGUGUAUGAUAUCGAAC